rnacentral:lncRNA from 1 species
AAACUGCAUCAAGCUUAAGGACUUCGGCUCUCGAGUGAGAAAGAUUCCAGGAGGUCUUAGGAUAUUGGGGAGAUGCCAAACAUCUGGAGUUUGUGAAGGAGAGGGAGGAAUCUCCAUGCUUGACUAACUUAAUCUUCAUGUGUCCAAGGGGAGGCUCAGCAUCAUGCGGCUGGAGGGAUCUGUAGUCUGUCCGCUUGGCAGACACCUGUUGAGUGCUACAGAAUCAUGCAGGAUGCUCCACCUGUGUAAUCAAGAGAUAGAAGCAAAGUGAUCUUGUUGUCUUAGUGCUCCUUUUCUCCAUCCCUUUUUACUUCACGCCAUAAAUCCUGAUCUGAUUAUGCUGCUCUACAAACCUUUGACAACCCCUUACUCACAGCAGCUUUUCCAAAGUCUGUCUCACAGAAGAUACACCCGAGAGACAGUCUUAUAAAAACAAUUUUGUGGUUUGACUCACAACAGCCAUUAAUAUAGUAAAGGCUCAUAAAAGACCUGCAGAAUGUCUUCUAUUUAACUUUAUUUAGUCCAGCAUUUUUCAAAUUCAGGAACUAUCCAUUCUCUCUGUCCCAUUUUUCCCUCUUUGCACAUGUUUGGCAGG